rnacentral:siRNA from 1 species
AGUGAAACUACAGGAUCCAACCA